UCUGCCCCUCCCCUGUUCAUGCUCUGUCUGUCUCAAAAAUAAAAAUAAAACGUUAAAAAAAAAUUAAAAAAAAUAAAAUCUCCUUUAAAAAAAAAUAAAAUGUUUUGUUAGAAACGAGGUAGAUCUGUUCACCGUAAAGAGUGAUUAGUCUACAUUUUAACUCCACUUCGGGGUCUCUUAGUCCUCAGGGACCCUUUCCAACGACCUUAUGCUGGGUUGACUCUUUUGUUAAAGUUCCUCAUUGGUUUCUUGCCUCUAGUGUCCUCCCUUCCAGACUCGGACUCAGUGGUCCUUUUCAAGCUGUUUCCCUCCCCGUUUUUGUUUUUUACCCCUGAUGCCCCUGGAGCAUUUUCAAAGGAAACUUUUUGGUUCAAGAUAGACAGGAAAGAAGUAGAACUGCUUUGCUGGAAAUAGGGUUGUGGAGCUGGGAUGGGUAGGCUUUGCUCUGGCUGUGCAGCCCAGGGUGGCCCAAGAACCCCUAAGGCAAUUUGAGGUAAUCUGGAGCUUUUAACUGUGUGGCCCUGCUGCUGCCAAGGUUUUUCCUGAAGUGCACAUUUGAGUAAUUUAUUCCCUUGAAAACUCCAGCCACUCUAGCAAAGGAAAUUAGUUGGUGGUUCUUAACUUGGGUAUUGCUCUCCCUAGGGAGAUGCACUGUUACAAUGUUUCUGUUUCACAGUAGCUGAUGAGGGUUGGGGGCACUUCUGGCAAUUGGUAUUGACUCAGAUAAACACCCUGUGGUGUACACCAUUUCGGCCCUGAAUACCACAGUGCCCUUGAUGAGGGAGAGACACUGGUCUUGGGAAGAAAGGCCAAUCUUCUGUGUGGCAUUCUUUUGUUCUUCCUCCACUUGUGUGGGCCCCAGCCUCCUGCCAGGCCUGCCCUCUCAAUCAGCUGGUAGUUGCUUAUCACCAUGUCCUUGCACCUGACCCUAUUCUUUCAGGGGUCUGGUCCAGCCAUAGACCUUUCCCUCUGCCAGGAAUGCUCUUUCCACCUGGCAGUGCCUCCUCUUUGUCUCCCAGCCCUCUCAGGUGAUGUAGAUCAGACUCUUCUCCAUCUCUCUAGCCAGCCACCAUCCCUAAGACUCAGCCCAUUGAGGUGGGCCUGAUGACUUCCAUCUGUGUAAUCCCAGUGGCACGUGGCACGUGCAAAUUUGGUAUCUGAAACUGCUGAGAAAAUAGUUUGGUAAUUGAAGUCAGUGUGCCACUUGAUCUUGGUGAAAGCCCUGUUAAGUUCAGCAGGGUAAGGAGAAUGGGGAUGGACCCUCGGGUGCAUGAGGCCUAUUCCUCCACCCUCUGCCAAGCUCAGGGUUGCUUGUUUUCUGGAUACUGCCCUUUGAUUUGAACCCUCACUUCCUUUGCAUCCAACCGUCUUCAUCCCCACCCACAUCCCUUACCUGGAACAUACCUAGGUGCUGCUGGCUUGGUGGAGAGAUGUGGCCUUGUCAUUAAAGUACAAGUGACGUGCAUCUGAUUUGUGUCUCUUUCAGAGCAGUACAACUCUAAAACUCUUAUUGAGAAAAAAAGAUCAGCUGUUACUGCAAAAACUAUAAAGCCUGCAGAAGACAAAGGUGGAUUGGUUGAUUUCAAACCAGCCAACCUAGGAAAAGGUUUCAGAUGAUGAUGACUCUAUAGAUGAUUUUCUCAAUAGUGAUGAGGAAAAGGACAGUUUUCUUUGCAGAAUUUCAAGAAUUUAGGUAAGUCUGUGCUGUGUUUACUUCUUUGUCAACCACUGAUAUAUUUAAUCCAAUGUGUAGAAUGUGAUUUUGUUAUUAAUAAUUAGUUGAUCCUUGAACUGUGCAGGGGUUGCAUGCCCCGCUCCCCCCCAACUAUCAUGCAGUUGAAAAUCUAUAUAACUUUUGACUCUCCCAGAAUUUAACUACUAAUAGCCUAGUGUUGACUGGAAGCCUUACCAAUAACAUAGUUGAUUAACACAUUUUGUAUAUGUAUUAUAUGCUGUCUUCUUACAAUAAAUAGGAAAAGGAAAUGUUAAAAAAAUCAUAAGGAAGAAAAUACACUUACAGCACUGUAUUUAUGGGGAAAAAAUCUGUAUAAGUGGGCCUGUGCAGUUCAAUCAAGCCUGUUGUUCAAGGUCAGCUGCACUUGAGUAUGGCAUGCAGAGCCCUUCAGUUGCAUGAUUCUGUGAAUAUUUACUCAGGGCUUCAACACCUCCCAGCCUGCCUACAACUCUCUUGCCCUGGAAUCCUACUGGGUUUGUGGGUUAGCAAAAUUCUCCUCCUUCAAGCCUUGGUUCAGGUUACCCUUCCUUAUCUAAACUUCACUUUUUGUCUUUCUCAGAAAUAAGCAUUUUUCACCUUUCCAUGGGGCCUUGUAAUGUACCACUUAUUUUAUAGUAAUUUCUCUCUCCCACACUAAUUUGUAGGGCAAGGGCCUGCAUUUAUUCCCAUGUUCCCAGUGCUCCGUAUAUAGUCUAGCCAUUAAUGUGGACAGGGCAAUCCCAGGAUCUGGUUUUUCAGAGGGAUGUGGGUGUUAACAGUGCCCAGCAUUUGUGUAGGACUGUGCGGUCAGCCCUUAUAGCAGUUCUGUGUGUGAUUAGUGGGCCAGUGUAAUUCCUAAAGAUAGAUGGGAGUUUCAUUGUUCUCAUCGUAGGCUGACUCUGCUUGGCACCCACUCCCAUGGUAGUGAUUAGUUAUACUGAGGGUGAAGCGGAGAUAUGAGGGUAGAUAUGAAAAGUUGUGUAAACUGCAAAAACACACAGAUAUGAGUGUCCGUUCAUUGCUACUGAUCCUGCUUUGUGAGGAUCAAGCACUUGCUUAAACAACAUUCAGGGUAUGUAGUGUAACUGUCCUUACCCAGUGAGAACCUUCAGGCCUAUGAAGAACAAAAACAUGCCAACAGCUUAAUGCUAUUGUUUUCUGUAUUUAUCCCAGUAAGCUAUUUUUUCCUAGUUGAAAUGGCCUAAAGUUAAACUAUUUACAGAGAUGUCAUGAACAAGAAUCUGUGAUGGUAUUUAACUUGGAAAUCGUCUGAUAGGCUGAUCUCACCUUAUUUAUGUGAAGCAUUGGUUCAGUUCUUGGUUUUAAAGGUUAAAGGGAUACAGUUCUUGAUAUUUAUUACAUUAGAUACAUUUAGCUUUUAACUAUCUCCAUCUGUUCCACUGAACUCACAUUGGCUUUCUUGUUCAUUUUUAAGGGGAGUCUGCAGCAUUAAGAAGCCUACUGUUCAGGGGCGCCUGGGUGGUUCAGUCGGUUAAGUGGAAUCGCAAGUGCCCCGGUGCAGUGAUGAACCACACCAGUGAGUCGGAUCUAUGAAGGUAGUAAAAUGUGGGAAGUUCUCUGCGGC